CCGGAAGUCCAAGGCCCUUCCGUGUAUGGGGACGGGGAGAUAGCCGCCUGAGGCGUUUCGGCGUCCGACUCCCUCAUCGUCGAGGAGGGCGGAGAUCGCGAUCUAGUGGGAUGUUGGUAUAUUUGUAUCCAUUUGUUCUACCUCCACAAUGCCAACGAAAGUAAAUCUUGAUCUGCCUGUUCUUCUUGGUCGCUGAAACAAACCGCCUUAAUCCUGGCCGUGGUGGUGACUUCUUUAAAUGAAAAAGGGUGAAGCCCUUUUGUGCGUGUUUUCUGAAAAUGGCACUUGAGUUCGAGGUAGGGAAUCAUCUCUCUGUCAUAUUUGUUUCUUUAUGAUCUUCUUCCAAUUUCUUCUUCUAUAAUAAAUGAUGAUGAUAUGGGCAUAAUGUUACUCUUUUGGGUGAAAUUGAUUGAUUAUUGAUUGCAUAGAGGUCGAAUCUCCUUUUUUUUUUUUUUUAAGUACAAAUCUCCUGUUAAUCUUGUUCAUGGUUAUUUGGCAUUGGUGCCGAACAAUACUAUUCCGCGUCGGUCCUUAGUCUGAUCAAUAAACACCGGUCUGACCGGUCCAUGUUGAUC